GUAACUAUGAAGCCAGCUUCUGUGUAUUUAAUGUCAAAAAACAAAAUCAUCUGUUUGAUGAGUUGCCUAUAAAUAACUCCCGAAAUAUCAAAGACUGGUCAACUUAUACAGAUGAGGAAUAUGUUGAAUAUGGCCAGCCAAUGAAGGUAGGCUAUUUUUAAUUAAUUAAUUAACCGGUGUCAAGUGAGAGCGCCACGAGACGCUGUAGCGCACACGAACCUAGGCAACGAAGUGAGGAAGGGAGAACGAGCGAUGGUGAACCAAUGAAAAGGCGCCUAAAUCUAAACUGGCUCUGCUUUGCUAACAUUUCUUUCCGGAUCGGUUUGUGCUGUCCAGGCGCGACAUCCAGAGGACUCCGUCUGGGUGCGUGCAUCUGUCCAAACGGAAAAAGACGGAGGAAGACAUUAGGUAAUCUUUCCUCAGGACUUGUGCUACAAAACAACUACAAAACAACUCCAACCUUUGCAUUCAAUCAGCCCCGGACCAUUACUGAAAGCUUCCACCUGACUGAGGAGGACAGUCAGUCUUGCUUCUGGUACAACAUCCUGGGAUAUCUUUAUUUUACUCCUCCCAUCCAGCAGUUCUUAUCCACCUAUUUUGAUCACAACAUGGGGGGGAGGGUGGAGUUUACCACCACUGACUUCUGAGAAUCCAUCCUGUGAGCUCAUCUGGUUUUGAACCUUGCUGCGUUGCGUUCCCAGUCCAUUUGUCCAAGUAACCCGCACCAUCUGGUGUGUUUCUGUUGAACACCUUGAGGAACUAACCAAGUAGGACUAGUACACUGCUACAGGGUGACCUGAAAACAGGCCCGGUUAGGAGAGAAAUGAAAGGAGUCUUAUAGCUUGGGAAGAACACACACAUGUGGCCUCUGAGGGGGCUGUGCAGUAGCCGUUGGUGGUUUUCUCCCAGAGCUGUAAAGGCUGAGGUGAUAUCUCUCCAUUUAACCUCCCUGUGUGGAGAAAUCUGUUCCUGUAUCCUCCUCACGCAUGUUGAAGGCUGACCGGGACUCAGCCAGCCUUUCUUAUUUAUCUGUCUACCCUGACCUUUUUCUCCCAUUACCACGUAUCUUCUUGCUGUCUCUCCACCACACCCAUUCCUGUCACACGCACUCUCUCUACUCUGACAAUCAACAAUGCUUGCAUACCAAUUUGACUUUCAUUUGUCGCAACCCAAGCCACCAGAGCCCGAGUGGAAACACUGACAUUUGGAGUGCAGCGUGGUGUCUGUUGCUGUGUGGACCGUUCCAAACCUCCACCCCCACCCCACCCCACGACCCCCUGGCAAUGGUCCUGGCUGUAAAUGUCACAGUGCUGGCUGGCUGAAUCAUCCAUAGGGUGGCUUUCCACGGGCCAGCCAUCUCUGUGGGAACCUCACUGUGUCUCAGGGAACAGACGCUACUUCUCAGCUCUAGGCAGACCCUGACAGCUGCCUUAUGGGAUUUCCAGUUUUGGUUUAAUUAGAAAGAUUCAGUCCGACCCCGAGACCCCAUUUGCAUUAUACUUGGAGGGAACUUGCAUUUAAAUAUAUUUUUUUGGUUGUCGUUUUGUUGUUACCCUCUUCACUGGAUUCAAAUAGCAGCUGGAGACCAGGAGUAUUUGAAUGCAGGUUUUUACCAAGUCAUUGUGCUGGAUUACACAGGCCCUGUAAGGGUCACGCCUUGUAGGUUUUUCCCUCAGUUUUUCUCCAGGACCCUCUCCCACUUGACACUAACAUUUCACAAGGAUAAAGCCAGGCACACACGUGUACAAAAUCUCCUUUUAGAAUAUUCACGCCAAUCCCAUGGAAUUCUCACCAAUGUAAGAAGCCCACGAAUACAGUGAUAAGGGAAAGAUAGCGUAGAUGGCUUCCCCGCAAUAAAUCAAUUGGUGGGGUGGAGGCA
ensembl:lncRNA